rnacentral:rRNA from 1 species
GACGAACGCUGGCGGCGUGCUUAACACAUGCAAGUCGAACGGAAAGGCCUCUUUCGGGGGGUACUCGAGUGGCGAACGGGUGAGUAACACGUGAGUAACCUGCCCUUGACUUUGGGAUAACUUCAGGAAACUGGGGCUAAUACCGGAUAGGAGCUCCUGCUGCAUGGAGGGGGUUGGAAAGUUUCGGCGGUUGGGGAUGGACUCGCGGCUUAUCAGCUUGUUGGUGGGGUAGUGGCUUACCAAGGCUUUGACGGGUAGCCGGCCUGAGAGGGUGACCGGCCACAUUGGGACUGAGAUACGGCCCAGACUCCUACGGGAGGCAGCAGUGGGGAAUAUUGCACAAUGGGUGGAAGCCUGAUGCAGCAACGCCGUGUGCGGGAUGACGGCCUUCGGGUUGUAAACCGCUUUCGCUCAUGACGAAGCUUUGUGUGACGGUAGUGGGUAAAGAAGCACCGGCUAACUACGUG